rnacentral:misc_RNA from 1 species
GAUGAAGAACGUAGCGAAAUGCGAUACGUAAUGUGAAUUGCAGAAUUCAGUGAAUCAUCGAAUCUUUGAACGCAUAUUGCGCUCUCUGGUAUUCCGGAGAGCAUGCUUGUUUGAGUAUCAGUAAACACCUCAACUUCCAUAUCUUUUUUGAAAUGGGAGUUGGACUUGAGUGAUCCCAACGCUUUUCCUCACCGAAAAGUGGCGGGUUACUUGAAAUGCAGGUGCAGCUGGACUUUUCUCUGAGCUAUAAGCAUAUCUAUUUAGUCUGCCUAAAAAACAUAUUAUUACCUUUGCUGCAGCUAACAUAAAGGAGAUUAGUUCUUGUGCUGACUGAUGCAGGAUUCACAAAGACGGCUUCGGCCGACUUUGUAAACUCGAUCUCAAAUCAAGUAAGACUACCCGCUGAACUUAAGCAUAUCAAUAAGCGGAGGA